rnacentral:lncRNA from 1 species
GUUAAAACUUAUCACAUAGGAGGGAUUACAUGUGUCCAAAAUUAGAAAGCAUGUAGUUGUGAGAGACCAAGUUUCAGAGCUGUAUGCUCACAGCUCUUGGCUACUGGGAAUUCAGGAUGUCCCUGACACGUCUAAGAUGGCACCUCAUGGCUGUGGGAACCCUGGUGCUCAGAAGCCAGCCGAGCCUAGGGUUCUCCUACUCAUUGGUUGAGGGCACCACUUUCAGAUAAAAACAUAGACCUGAAUGGCAUCACCCAGUAUCCAAGGAAACCGUCUCCAUGGAAGAUUCAGCCCAACCAUUGUAAAGAACGAAAGCACACGAAGUAGCUUGGGACCCACAACACACAAAACCAGAAGCAAAUUAGAGGUAACCACUGGGGGACUAUGGGAUGUGCCCCCCAUGUCCAUGGAACCAAGGUGUCAAAUGA